UACGUAGGGGGCUAGCGUUGUCCGGAAUCAUUGGGCGUAAAGCGCGCGUAGGCGGUCCGGUAAGUCCGCUGUGAAAGUCGGGGGCUCAACCCUCGGAUGCCGGUGGAUACUGUCGGGCUUGAGUACGGAAGAGGCGAGUGGAAUUCCUGGUGUAGCGGUGAAAUGCGCAGAUAUCAGGAAGAACACCCGUGGCGAAGGCGGCUCUCUGGGACGGUACUGACGCUGAGACGCGAAAGCGUGGGGGAGCGAACAGG
rnacentral:rRNA from 1 species